rnacentral:rRNA from 1 species
UACGUAGGGGGCAAGCGUUGUCCGGAAUCAUUGGGCGUAAAGAGCGUGUAGGCGGCUCGAUAAGUCUGCUGUGAAAGUCCAGGGCUCAACCCUGGAAGGCCGGUGGAAACUGUCGGGCUAGAAUCCGGAAGAGGCGAGUGGAAUUCCCGGUGUAGCGGUGAAAUGCGCAGAUAUCGGGAGGAACACCAAUGGCGAAGGCAGCACUCUGGGACGUGACUGACGCUGAGACGCGAAAGCGUGGGGAGCA